rnacentral:snRNA from 1 species
GGAUGUGAAGGUAAUGUGGUUGCGACAUCUGUCACUGCAUUGAUCGCUAGGGUUGAUUCAGCUGACCUGACUAGCUAGGCAGGGGUCCCCUUCCUCUCUCACUGUCCCAUGUGCAUCCCUCCCAAAACUGUGUGCUCGGUGGAAGAGGACGACCUUCCCCGAAUAGAGGAGGACUGGUCUUCAUUUAAGGGUAUACCAGUAGCUGCUCUCUCCUGCUAGAACCUCCAAACAAGCUCAAGAAAGACAGGCAAAUAUAGCCAAACAAAUAAAGGCACCAGUAGAGGCAUAAUUAGUGGCAUAU